GGCUGUGGCAGUCUUUCCGGGUAACGAGAGGCGCCCGUUCCGGGCAGCAGCAUCAUGAAGCCCAGACCUGCGGUUUUCGUAGACAGGAAACUGAAGCAGCGGGUCAUUCAGUACCUCAGUAGUAACAGAUGUGGCAAAUAUGUGGACACUGGAGUCUUAGCAUCCGACUUGCAAAGAAUGUACAGAUUAUGGUCGAAGAAAAAGAAAUGCUUUCAGGAUUCAGGUAGAAAAAGUAUUUAGCAUAAUUAGUAGUGAGAAAGAACUUAAGGAUCUUAAAGAACUAGAAGAUGGACAUCUGGCAAAAAGAGCAAGACAAGAUGAAGAGGAUGAGUACACGGAAAGCUAUUCUGAUGAUGAUUCAGACAUGGAAGAUUACCCAGAUCCACGGUCAGCAAAUCACAUGAACAGUUCCCUGCUCUCUUUGUAUCGGAAAGGAAACUCAGAUUCUGUUUCAACCACUCCGAAGUUGGAACAGAAAGAAGCUACCACUUCGACACCAUUGCUGACAUCUAAAACGGACUCCAUGCCAUUGAAGACCCCUGCCCGAGAAUCUGAGGGAGGAUGGUUUAUUGACAAAACUCCAGGUGGAAAGAAAGAAAGUUUUCUCUUGGACCUAUCAGAUGACCAAAGCAACUCUAAAAAGCAGGAUUCUGAGAUUCAGAUUUUAAAAGACUCUUCUCUUCUGGAAAGCGAUAAGAAAAGGAAAGGUAGGGCAAAGGGCAAAGGAAACAAAAGAAAAACAGAGAAUCUUCAAGAAGUAGAUGGAGAAAUAGAAGCUCUUCUGCAAAAGAAAGCUAAAGCAAGGAGUACAGAGUUGCAGAUUUCCAAUGUGAAGUUUGAAGAUGUUGGAGGCAAUGAUGCAACAUUAAAAGAAGUCUGCAGAAUGCUCAUACACAUGCGUCAUCCAGAGGUAUACCAGCACCUUGGCGUCGUGCCCCCACGCGGAGUUCUCCUGCAUGGACCACCAGGCUGUGGGAAGACAUUACUUGCACACGCAAUAGCAGGGGAACUUGACUUGCCGAUUCUGAAAGUGGCUGCUCCAGAGAUUGUGUCCGGAGUUUCUGGAGAGUCUGAGCAGAAGCUCCGUGAGUUAUUUGACCAGGCUGUGUCAAAUGCACCAUGUAUUGUUUUCAUUGAUGAAAUUGAUGCAAUUACCCCCAAAAGAGAAGUUGCUUCAAAAGAUAUGGAACGAAGAAUUGUAGCCCAGCUUCUAACCUGCAUGGAUGAUCUGAAUAACGUGGCAGCUACAGCUCGGGUCCUAGUUAUUGGAGCUACUAACAGGCCAGACUCAUUGGAUCCUGCUUUGAGACGUGCAGGAAGGUUUGACCGAGAAGUCUGCUUGGGUAUCCCAGAUGAGGCAGCCAGAGAAAGAAUUCUCCAAACGUUGUGCCGAAAACUGAGGCUUCCGGAAACUUUUAAUUUUUGUCACUUAGCACACCUAACACCAGGCUUUGUUGGUGCUGAUCUAAUGUCUCUUUGCCGAGAGGCAGCCAUGUGUGCGGUCAAUAGGGUCUUGAUGAAACAGCAGGCGCAGCAGAAGAAAAAGCCUGAGAUUGAAGGUUUGUCCUCUGAAGGAGACCAGGAGGAAAUGCGGGGAGCUGAGCCCACUUCAGAAACACAGGAUGAAUUGCAAAGGCUGUUGGGGUUGCUAAGAGACCAANAUCCCCUCUCAGAGGAACAGAUGCAAGGACUGUGCAUUGAAUUGAACGAUUUCAUUGUUGCUCUAGCAGAAGUCCAGCCUUCUGCCAAAAGGGAAGGCUUUGUAACUGUCCCUAAUGUGACAUGGGCUGAUAUUGGUGCCCUGGAAGAUAUUAGAGACGAGCUUAUAAUGGCAAUAUUGGCACCUGUUCGCAACCCAGACCAGUUCAGAACUCUUGGUUUGGGGACUCCAGCUGGCAUCCUCCUAGCUGGUCCUCCUGGGUGUGGAAAAACUCUGCUAGCAAAGGCUGUGGCAAAUGAGUCUGGACUGAAUUUUAUAUCUGUCAAAGGCCCUGAAUUAUUGAAUAUGUAUGUUGGUGAGAGUGAGCGUGCUGUUCGGCAAGUUUUUCAGCGAGCCAAGAACUCAGCCCCCUGCGUGAUAUUUUUUGAUGAAGUGGAUGCUUUAUGUCCUCGGAGAUCAGACCGAGAAACAGGUGCUAGUGUUCGUGUGGUGAAUCAGCUGCUUACAGAGAUGGAUGGCUUAGAAACACGCCGGCAAGUUUUUAUUUUGGCUGCCACCAAUAGACCAGAUAUCAUUGACCCUGCCAUUCUGCGNCCAGGCCGCCUGGACAAAACGCUCUUCGUGGGUUUGCCUCCCCCAGCAGACCGCGUUGCCAUAUUAAAGACUAUUACAAAAAAUGGCACCAAACCUCCACUGGAUGAAGAUGUAAAUUUGGAAACAAUUGCUAAUGACCUUCGUUGUAAUUGCUAUACGGGUGCGGACCUUACUGCUCUGGUACNGGAAGCUUCUCUCUGUGCCCUGAGACAAGAAAUAACAGCACAGAAGAAUGGGGUUGGAGCAGGUGAGCUUAAGGUCAGUCAUAAGCACUUUGAAGACGCUUUCAAGAAAGUGAAACCAUCCAUAUCAAUAAAGGAUCAAAAGAUGUAUGAAGCUCUGCAGAGGUCCCUCAGUCAGUGACGUUUGNGCUACCUGGCAUGGAGGAGGUGUCUAGUGUGUGGAACUCACCAUGAAUCACAGUCACUCUGGAGGGUCUACUUUCAGCUUGACACCGAUGAUCCUUUUUUUUUUUUUUUUUUUUAAUCAGAACCAGUUAUCUCUUUAUUUUUUGGAAAGUAAGUUGGCUGUGUUAGCAAUACCACAUCUGCUAGUGUGGGCUGACAAACCAUGUGCUAGGCCCCAAGAACNCUGAGCCACUGUCCUGACCCUGCUGACUGACAGGCAAGGGACAGCCACCCAGGCCCAGUAAGAGUACAAAAAGUAGCAAAAUUGCAUUCACCACUNUCUCCCAGGCUUUGAAAGGUAGCAGUCUAGGCUUUAAAAGGCUAGAAGCUCUGCAUAGGAAGUGUUAAGCCNGCAGCAAAACAACUUGUAAAAAUUCAAUAAAUUAUAGAUAGAUAAACUUGUAACAGAUAUCUAUUAACAUCUGAACCUUCUUACAGGAUCAGUCCCUCCCUGGGCACAGGCUCCUGCCUGAAAUACAUAGNAAUUAGAAUAAUCUGUAUGAAAAAUACCAGUUAACCUUGAAAUUUUUAAACAUCUCCUAAAGAAAGUUCCUAUAUAAAUCUAAUCCCUCACAAAAGAGGGCAAAAGGCAACAGGAAACGCUCUCUGGCACCAUUACUAACUAGGAGAGCUAGCUGUUCAUGUGCCAAGGGGCUAUGUCCAGCCUGGUAGAGGCCAGACACAUGGUCUCAGCAACUCCCUAAAUCCAGCAUGAACCUCUUNCACUGUUAAUAAGUUACAACUUAAAAUGUCUGAAAUACCCUGGGACUAAAUGCUGUGACCCUGAGGUUGGGGACUGGAGCUCUGGGAGUUGAUAAAUAUAGCUUUNCAAAUAUAUAGGUCCAGUACAAACAAAACUGCCAUACCAGAAAAGUCCCUUAGUUCUCAGCCUGUUCUUGCCAGUUUACUAGUGAGCCCCAUGGAGUAUCUUGCUCCCUUGGGCCUCAGCUUUGCCUUUUUUCAUAUAGAUGUGUGUGUGUUACACAACAUCUAUUUAUAUAAAUACACAUUUUCCUCUGGAAUACACCUUUCUGAUAGACAUUACACCCCCCCCCCCCUUUCAGGUACCUGUAAUUUGUGUCUGAGAGGCAAGGUGGGAAGCAGGCAGCCUGGAGAUGUCGAGCUAUGACACCCCCAGGCACAAGGUGCCAUGUAGAAGAGAGGCUUGCCACACAGAGCAGAGCCUCCCUGCAAGCUCAGCUUGGGGCACCAAAAAGGCCAAGGCCCACUCUCUACAAUGGUCCCUGUAAGGUAGCAGUGAGAAAUGAGAGGGCCAGAACCCCAGGGUUGCACAAGGUGGGCCUCUUAACAUUUUCAUUUGGUGCUCCUGGCCCUGGCCACUCAGGAGAUCACUAUACAGCAGUGCAUGUUCCCAAGGGGCAGGGGCCUCUGCACCCAGGAGCUAAGGAUAAACAUGCAGGAAGUCUUGUCUAUUGUUGACCCAUUGCACUGGGCUGGCUAGGGUCCACUGCACACCAGCAGUAGCAGGGCGGGUUAGGGUCCACAGAAACAUUGGCUGGGGCUUGGUCUGUGGGACUGCAGGCCUUUCACAUCCGAGGUCCCCCAUUAUUGGAUGGGCUUGGGGGUAGCAACUCAUGGGUGCUCCCUGGACAGGCUGGAGCUAGGAGUGUCCCAACCACCUGGAGAGGACUGUUCAAAUGGCACGGAGAGGUCCAAGUACUUGUCAGUUGAUGUCACAGUGAGGAUGCGGUCUAAAUCCUCUACCUACUGCUUGAAGGUGGGCCUCUGAAGANNCUGCAUGCCAACAUCCCCACNUGANCAUGUACAGGCCANGUGUGCAGUUGUGGGGCUUGUCCAUGCAGUGGCCCUCUUUAAGUAGCUUGAAAAGCUCUUCCACUGGGAUGCCAGGAUACGGUGAGAUCUCCUAGAGGAGGACACCAAAGGACCAGACAUCACUCUGGUGGGUGUAGACUCCGUAAAAAAGGGCCUCUGAUUCCAUCCACUUCACANGUAGCAGGCCACUUGUGGUCUUCUUGUAGUAAUCCAGGUUGUGCAGGUCUUGGGCCAGGCCAAAGUCUGUAAUCUUCAUCACAUUGUCCGAGGUCACCAGGACAUUUCUGGCAGCCAAGUCUCUGAAUACACUUCUGGGAAGCCAAGUAUUCCGUGCUCCAUGUUACCUGGUAGGUACANGACACGAGAUCCUUGCAGGUAAGCUGUUCUCCUGGCAGCCUGCAGUCCAUGCCGGAAGGAACUCUUGUAGAUUGCCUUGGCUGCAUACUCCACCAGCACAUACAGAGCCCACCCGGUGCAGGCCCAGCAGGUCAUCAUCUCCAUCUCAGAUACCAGGUCCAACAGCAUCUUCACAGCAUCUUCACAGUAUCUUCUGCAUGACAGCCUGUCCAAAGCAGCCUUCUCCCAGAGUCUUACCAAGUGUCAUCUGGGUCCUGGAUAGUUCUACUUGGGGUCAGCAGGCAGCUCAAGUUCAGAAACAUUGGCCAGAACAGGACCUUCUCCUGAAGACAGCCAAGCAAUCCGGAUGAGGGCUACAUUGAAGUUCAUAGAGGAAUUAGAUUCCAAGGACACCUGUCAGUUAAGUGGGAAGUGCCUUGGGGGACUGGGCAGACUGUCACCACAGCUGCCACCACUAGCAUGAAGAGGAAGAAGCCCACCCCAUAGUCGCUGCCAGUCUCAUAAGCUCCUCCUCAGCUGUGUCUUCAGUUAGGUUCUUCCCAGCUUCUUUAUCUCCUGAGGAUGGAGCAUCUGUCACACGCAUACUGAAGCCUCUGAGAGCCCACCAGGAUGCAGUGGGAGACCACCAGUUCUGUACCAUUCUUAGCCCAGACUGUGGGGCUUGUGGGGGCACCUCCAGAUGUCAGCUCUACGGUGUCCUCACUGCCAAAGGCCACCUGCUCCUACUGGCUAGGUUCAGGCCCUGGAACCUCUGCUGCUCUCUGCACAGUUCUGGACCAGGAGGCUCUGAAGUAGGUCCAGCCAUCACUGCUAUGCAGAAUACUUUUUUUUAAUUAGGUAUUUUCUUCAUUUACAUUUCCAAUGCUNUCCCAAAAGUCCCCCAUAUCCUCCCCCCACUCCCCUACCCACCCACUCCCACUUCUGACCAGCUUUGUGGAAAAACUCUCUACUUCCUUUUUAAGAAAGAGAGAGAAAAAAAACCUGAUAAAGCCUUAUUUAAAUAAAAAUUUAUUUUGAACUAUCUAGAGCAUGCAUAAAAGUUAUAAAAAAAACUUUCCUUGAGAAUUGAUCACCUUACAUCCUGUCACCUCAGAUACAUAUUCAUAUCAGUUUUCUGUAAACCAGGAUAUUUUUCUACAUAGCCAACCAUCAAAAACACUGACACAUUGCUACUAUUUAACUCUCUAGCUCUAGUCAGUCUUUCUCGGUUUUUCUCAUGUCAUUUAUGGUAAAGGACUCUGGUCUAAGUUAGCUAUUCCAGUUGUUAAGUCUUCUUAGGGUUUCCACAAGUUUUUGUUGUUGGGCUUCCGGUUUUGUUUGGGGAUAGUAAGUACCCCUGACUGGCCUGCAACCUACUGUAUAGAGUAGGCUGGCCUCAGACUCCCAGUGUUCUGUGUGCCUCUGCUUCCUGGGUGCUGAGAUUAAAGGUGUAUGCCCCCAUAUCCAGCGUUUUUUAACUUCUUGGGUCAAUGAUUGGCUUGCCUUAAUUUUAUCUCUUUUAAAGAUAUAGUAGUAAAGCUGUUUUCUGCAUCCUCUCAGGUGGUGAUGCCUUAUUGUUACUUAAGACUGUCCCUGCAGUCAUUUAAUUCAAGUGGUUCUGACAGGCUUCUUACACUGCACAGUUACUCCUUUUCCUUUUUAAUUCACACCUGUGUGGGGGAAGAUAAUCUCACCUCUCAUACACGUGUUGCACCCUCACCAGAUUCAGAUGAUAGUUUUUUCAUUAUCAUGGUUUGUGUUCAGAUGUGUCUUUGGUGAAUUUCUAAACUGAUGUUUUAUGAGAGUUUAUGUUGUGUCAGAAUUAUUUCAUCUAAUUUUAUUUAUACAAUAACAGCAAUACUGUUAUUGUAUAGACAGGUCUGGUUAUUUCCUUCCUAAGUUUUUAUUCUAUCUCCUUCUGCAAAGUCUUUGAGGUUCCUAUGACGAAUUUGAGAAUGGGGUUGGAGAAAUGGCUUAGUGGUUAAGAGUACUGACUCUUCUUGAGUCCUGAGUUCAA